AUUUAAAUAAUUUAAUAAAAAUAUUGAUUUGUGGGAUCAAACAUAUAUAUAUA
rnacentral:tRNA from 1 species